rnacentral:rRNA from 1 species
UACGUAGGUGGCAAGCGUUGUCCGGAAUUAUUGGGCGUAAAGCGCGCGCAGGUGGUUCCUUAAGUCUGAUGUGAAAGCCCACGGCUCAACCGUGGAGGGUCAUUGGAAACUGGGGAGCUUGAGUGCAGGAGAGAAGAGUGGAAUUCCACGUGUAGCGGUGAAAUGCGUAGAGAUGUGGAGGAACACCAGUGGCGAAGGCGACGCUUUGGCCUGUAACUGACGCUGAGGCGCGAAAGCGUGGGGAGCAAACAGG